GCCUCCGUAGCUCAGGGGAUAGAGCACUGCUCUCCUAAAGCAGGUGUCGGCAGUUCGAAUCUGCCCGGGGGCAC
rnacentral:tRNA from 1 species